GCUACAGGCUUAACACAUGCAAGUCGAGGGGCAGCAUGGUCUUAGCUUGCUAAGGCCGAUGGCGACCGGCGCACGGGUGAGUAACACGUAUCCAACCUGCCGUCUACUCUUGGACAGCCUUCUGAAAGGAAGAUUAAUACAAGAUGGCAUCAUGAGUCCGCAUGUUCACAUGAUUAAAGGUAUUCCGGUAGACGAUGGGGAUGCGUUCCAUUAGAUAGUAGGCGGGGUAACGGCCCACCUAGUCUUCGAUGGAUAGGGGUUCUGAGAGGAAGGUCCCCCACAUUGGAACUGAGACACGGUCCAAACUCCUACGGGAGGCAGCAGUGAGGAAUAUUGGUCAAUGGGCGAGAGCCUGAACCAGCCAAGUAGCGUGAAGGAUGACUGCCCUAUGGGUUGUAAACUUCUUUUAUAAAGGAAUAAAGUCGGGUAUGGGUACCCGUUUGCAUGUACUUUAUGAAUAAGGAUCGGCUAACUCCGUGCCAGCAGCCGUGGUAAUACGGAGGAUCCGAGCGUUAUCCGGAUUUAUUGGGUUUAAAGGGAGCGUAGAUGGAUGUUUAAGUCAGUUGUGAAAGUUUGCGGCUCAACCGUAAAAUUGCAGUUGAUACUGGAUAUCUUGAGUGCAGUUGAGGCAGGCGGAAUUCGUGGUGUAGCGGUGAAAUGCUUAGAUAUCACGAAGAACUCCGAUUGCGAAGGCAGCCUGCUAAGCUGCAACUGACAUUGAGGCUCGAAAGUGUGGGUAUCAAACAGGAUUAGAUACCCUGGUAGUCCACACGGUAAACGAUGAAUACUCGCUGUUUGCGAUAUACAGCAAGCGGCCAAGCGAAAGCGUUAAGUAUUCCACCUGGGGAGUACGCCGGCAACGGUGAAACUCAAAGGAAUUGACGGGGGCCCGCACAAGCGGAGGAACAUGUGGUUUAAUUCGAUGAUACGCGAGGAACCUUACCCAGGCUUAAAUUGCAGAUGAAUUACGGUGAAAGCCGUAAGCCGCAAGGCAUCUGUGAAGGUGCUGCAUGGUUGUCGUCAGCUCGUGCCGUGAGGUGUCGGCUUAAGUGCCAUAACGAGCGCAACCCUUGUUGUCAGUUACUAACAGGUUCCGCUGAGGACUCUGACAAGACUGCCAUCGUAAGAUGUGAGGAAGGUGGGGAUGACGUCAAAUCAGCACGGCCCUUACGUCCGGGGCUACACACGUGUUACAAUGGGGGGUACAGAGGGCCGCUACCACGCGAGUGGAUGCCAAUCCCCAAAACCUCUCUCAGUUCGGACUGGAGUCUGCAACCCGACUCCACGAAGCUGGAUUCGCUAGUAAUCGCGCAUCAGCCACGGCGCGGUGAAUACGUUCCCGGGCCUUGUACACACCGCCCGUCAAGCCAUGGGAGCCGGGGGUACCUGAAGUGCGUAACCGCGAGGAGCGCCCUAGGGUAAAACUGGUGACUGGGGCUAAGUCAUAACAA
rnacentral:rRNA from 1 species